AACGAACGCUGGCGGCAGGCCUAACACAUGCAAGUCGAGCGAGGACUUCGGUCCUAGCGGCGGACGGGUGAGUAACGCGUGGGAACGUGCCCUUUGCUUCGGAAUAGCCCUGGGAAACUGGGAGUAAUACCGGAUGAGCCCUUUGGGGGAAAGAUUUAUCGGCGAAGGAUCGGCCCGCGUUGGAUUAGGUAGUUGGUGGGGUAAUGGCCUACCAAGCCGACGAUCCAUAGCUGGUUUGAGAGGAUGAUCAGCCACACUGGGACUGAGACACGGCCCAGACUCCUACGGGAGGCAGCAGUGGGGAAUCUUAGACAAUGGGGGAAACCCUGAUCUAGCCAUGCCGCGUGAGCGAUGAAGGCCUGAGGGUUGUAAAGCUCUUUCAGCUGGGAAGAUAAUGACGGUACCAGCAGAAGAAGCCCCGGCUAACUCCGUG
rnacentral:rRNA from 1 species